UAAAAAAAAGCUGUCCAGUGCCCCCCAAC
rnacentral:piRNA from 1 species